AUGCAGUCGAGCGCGAAUGGGGAAACCCUAGUAGAGCGGCGCACGGGUGCGUAACACGUGGAUAAUCUGCCUGGAUGCCUGGGAUAACCAGUCGAAAGAUUGGCUAAUACCGGAUAAGCCCACGGUCUCUUCGGAGACUGAGGGAAAAGGUGGCCUCUGUAUACAAGCUAUCACAACCAGAUGAGUCCGCGGCCCAUCAGCUAGUUGGCGGGGUAAUGGCCCACCAAGGCAACGACGGGUAGCUGGUCUGAGAGGACGAUCAGCCACACUGGAACUGAGACACGGUCCAGACUCCUACGGGAGGCAGCAGUGGGGAAUUUUGCGCAAUGGGCGAAAGCCUGACGCAGCAACGCCGCGUGUGUGAUGAAGGUCUUUGGAUUGUAAAGCACUUUCGACCGGGACGAAAACCCGGAGGCUAACAUCCUCCGGCUUGACGGUACCGGGAGAAGAAGCACCGGCUAACUCUGUGCCAGCAGCCGCGGUAAUACAGAGGGUGCAAGCGUUGUUCGGAAUUAUUGGGCGUAAAGCGCGUGUAGGCGGCUUUGCAAGUCGGGUGUGAAAGCCCUCAGCUCAACUGAGGAAGUGCGCCCGAAACUGCAGAGCUUGAGUGCCGGAGAGGGUGGCGGAAUUCCCCAAGUAGAGGUGAAAUUCGUAGAUAUGGGGAGGAACACCGGUGGCGAA
rnacentral:rRNA from 1 species